rnacentral:rRNA from 1 species
CCUACGGGUGGCAGCAGUGGGGAAUAUUGCACAAUGGGGGAAACCCUGAUGCAGCGACGCCGCGUGGGUGAAGAAGUAUUACGGUAUGUAAAGCCCCAUCAGCCGGGAAGCAAAAUGACGGUACCGUACUCAGAAGCACCUGCUAAAUACAGGCCAGCAGCCGCGGUAAUACGUAUGGUGCAAGCGUUAACCGGAAUUACUGGGUGUAAAGGGAGCGCAGGCGGCACGCUGAGGCUGCUGGGGAAACCCGCGGCCCAACCGCGGGAGUGCAGUGGGAACUGGCCGGCUGGAGUUACAGAGAGGCAGGCGGAAUUCCUAGUGUAGCGGUGAAAUGCGUAGAUAUUAGGAGGAACACCAGUGGCGAAGGCAGCCUGCUGGACGGACACUGACGCUGAGGCUCGAAAGCGUGGGGAGCAAACAGGAUUAGAUACCCCAGUAGUC